GUCGUAACAUGGUUUCCGUAGGUGAAGCUGCGGAAGGAUCAUUGUCGAAACCUGCACAAGCAGAAAGACCCGCGAACACGUUUACAAACACCGGGGAGGGCGGCGCUCGGCCGAACACCGGCGCCGUCGCCCCGAAAACAACAAACCCCCGGCGCGGAUUGCGCCAAGGACCAUGAACAAUAGCGCGCCCCACGCCCCUCGGGCCUCCCGAAGCGCGCGUGGGGCGACGUGUCGUUUCGAUACAUUAGAACGACUCUCGGCAACGGAUAUCUCGGCUCUCGCAUCGAUGAAGAACGUAGCGAAAUGCGAUACUUGGUGUGAAUUGCAGAAUCCCGUGAACCAUCGAGUCUUUGAACGCAAGUUGCGCCCGAAGCCUUCGGGCCAAGGGCACGUCUGCCUGGGCGUCACGCACCGCGUCGCCCCCCCACCCCGAAAACGAGGGGCGUGGGGGCGGACUGUGGCCCCCCGUGCGCUCCCCGCUCGCGGUCGGCCUAAACGCAGACCCCGUGGCCGCGAAGAGCCGCGACGAUUGGUGGUUUACUCGUGGCCCAGCGCCCCGAGCAUCGCGUCGUGGCCUCGGCGUCCCGCGGGAGCUCAAAGGACCCCGAGGAGGACCCCGCCACCUAACAGUGUCGUGGGGAUCUCCCAACCGUUGCGACCCCAGGUCAGGCGGGACUACCCGCUGAGUUUAAGCA
rnacentral:rRNA from 1 species